rnacentral:lncRNA from 1 species
CUGGGGUUGCAAAUGAACCAUUCAAUUGAAUCAAAAGGCAAUGAAAUCACAUUGCUGUUCAUGAGUGGAAUCCAUGUUUCUGGACGCGGAUUUUUGGCCUCAUACUCUGUUAUAGAUAAACAAGUAAGUACUGCCCAGCUGGUUGUCUGCUUCCUUUUGCUGAGAUAUCUGGAACAAUUCCUCAUGGAUAUAGAGAUUCCUCGCCAUUGUGCAUGGCUGGUGUGCAUGCAGGAGUAGUGUCAAACACGUUGGGCGGCCAAAUCAGUGUUGUAAUUAGUAAAGGUAUCCCCUAUUAUGAAAGUUCUUUGGCUAACAACGUCACAUCUGUGGUGUAAGUAUAUAUGCAAUUUAAAAAAUAUAUGCUAUAUAUAAUUAGCAUUCU